GGGGAUAUAGCUCAGUUGGCAGAGUGUAUGCCUCGCAUGCAUAAAACUCUGGUUCAAUCCCCAGCCUCCCCCA
rnacentral:tRNA from 1 species